UAAACUGACAGUUGUGGCACUUUAGUGAAUCUAUUGCUUCAGUAUGCCUGUUAUAGGGACUGGCUGCGUAAACUCUGCCUCUGAGUUGUACCAACUGUCAUAUCUUCGUGCUCUUUUCUUACCUCAGUGAUCUUUUGCUUGUGAUAGGACAAACUUGAUGAAGCUUCGUUGUGACUUCAAGGAUGCAUCUGUUGAGAAGCAUGGGGUCAAGUUGGGGCUUAUGUCGAGAUUCAUCAAGGCUGUUGUCAGUGGGGUCCAAAAUCAGCCUACUUAAUAUGCAGUCAUUGAUGGGGAUGAUAUCAUAUAUAGAGAUUACAUAGAUUGAUAGAUAUAAGUGCAGCUGUGGGUACUCCAAAGGGCCUUGUUGUGCCAGUUAUCCGCAAUGCUGAUAAGAUGAAUUGUGGUGAGAUUAAGAAGGAGAUCAAUUCGCUUGCAAAGAAGGCAAAUGAGGGACGUCUUUCAAUUGAUGAUAUGGCUGGAGGUUCAUUUACAAUAUCCAAUGGUGGAUUUUAUGGAGCCUUAUAAGUACCCCCAUCAUCAACCCUCCUCAGGUCUGAUUCUUUAUCUGACCCAAUUGACCGGACUUUGAUCGUCUUACUGCAACAAAUGGAACUCACAUCAGUUCUAUGCUUAAUUAUGUACCUAGUGAAGCUUCUUUAAUUUGUAGCAAAAGUACCUUUUCCAUUAUAUGAUAGCUAAGUACCUUUAUACGACAUCCAGUAUAUAUUUGUUUCUUUUACUUUUGCAAAGUUCACUCAAGAAAUUUCAGCUGCAGAAGCAUUGUAAAUGUGAUUACUUGAAAUAGUUCUCUAUUAAUAUAUUGCAAUUUCAUUUUGAUUUCUUGAA